rnacentral:rRNA from 1 species
GAUGAACGCUAGCGGCAGGCUUAACACAUGCAAGUCGAACGGCAGCACAGGUAGCAAUACUGGGUGGCGAGUGGCGCACGGGUGCGUAACGCGUAUGCAACCUACCUUUAACUGGGAGAUAGCCUGAAGAAAUUCGGAUUAAUACCCCAUAAUAUAUGUCUUUCGCAUGUUAGACAUAUUAAAGCUUCGGCGGUUAAAGAUGGGCAUGCGUAACAUUAGCUAGUUGGUAAGGUAACGGCUUACCAAGGCUACGAUGUUUAGGGGGCCUGAGAGGGUUAUCCCCCACACUGGAACUGAGACACGGUCCAGACUCCUACGGGAGGCAGCAGUGAGGAAUAUUGGUCAAUGGACGAAAGUCUGAACCAGCCAUGCCGCGUGCAGGAAGACGGUCCCUAGGGUUGUAAACUGCUUUUGUAUAGGAAUAAACCCCCGAAGUGUUCGGGGCUGAAGGUACUAUACGAAUAAGCACCGGCUAACUCCGUGCCAGCAGCCG